rnacentral:rRNA from 1 species
GACGAACGCUGGCGGCGUGCCUAAUACAUGCAAGUUGAGCGCUGAAGGUUGGUACUUGUACCAACUGGAUGAGCAGCGAACGGGUGAGUAACGCGUGGGGAAUCUGCCUUUGAGCGGGGGACAACAUUUGGAAACGAAUGCUAAUACCGCAUAAAAACUUUAAACACAAGUUUUAAGUUUGAAAGAUGCAAUUGCAUCACUCAAAGAUGAUCCCGCGUUGUAUUAGCUAGUUGGUGAGGUAAAGGCUCACCAAGGCGAUGAUACAUAGCCGACCUGAGAGGGUGAUCGGCCACAUUGGGACGGAGACACGACCCAAACUCCUACGGGAGGCAGCAGUAGGGAAUCUUCGGCAAUGGACGAAAGUCUGACCGAGCAACGCCGCGUGAGUGAAGAAGGUUUUCGGAUCGUAAAACUCUGUUGGUAGAGAAGAACGUUGGUGAGAGUGGAAAGCUCAUCAAGUGACGGUAACUACCCAGAAAGGGACGGCUAACUACGUG